rnacentral:rRNA from 1 species
GACGAACGCUGGCGGUGUGCUUAACACAUGCAAGUCGAACGGUAAGGCCCUUUCGGGGGUACACGAGUGGCGAACGGGUGAGUAACACGUGAGUAACCUGCCCUCAUCUCUGGGAUAACAGUCGGAAACGGUUGCUAAUACUGGAUAUGAGCUUGCAAGGCAUCUUGUGGGUUGGAAAGAUUUUUUUUGGUUGGGGAUGGACUCGCGGCCUAUCAGCUUGUUGGUGAGGUAGUGGCUCACCAAGGCUUCGACGGGUAGCCGGCCUGAGAGGGCGACCGGCCACAUUGGGACUGAGAUACGGCCCAAACUCCUACGGGAGGCAGCAAUGGGGAAUAUUGCACAAUGGACGGAAGUCUGAUGCGGCAACGCCGCGUGCGGGAUGACGGCCUUCGGGUUGUAAACCGCUUUCAAUUGUGACGAAGCUUUUUUGUGACGGUAGCAGUAGAAGAAGCACCGGCUAACUACGUG